rnacentral:rRNA from 1 species
UAGCAAGGUUAACCGAAUAGGGGAGCCGAAGGGAAACCGAGUCUUAACUGGGCGUUAAGUUGCAGGGUAUAGACCCGAAACCCGGUGAUCUAGCCAUGGGCAGGUUGAAGGUUGGGUAACACUAACUGGAGGACCGAACCGACUAAUGUUGAAAAAUUAGCGGAUGACUUGUGGCUGGGGGUGAAAGGCCAAUCAAACCGGGAGAUAGCUGGUUCUCCCCGAAAGCUAUUUAGGUAGCGCCUCGUGAAUUCAUCUCCGGGGGUAGAGCACUGUUUCGGCAAGGGGGUCAUCCCGACUUACCAACCCGAUGCAAACUGCGAAUACCGGAGAAUGUUAUCACGGGAGACACACGGCGGGUGCUAACGUCCGUCGUGAAGAGGGAAACAACCCAGACCGCCAGCUAAGGUCCCAAAGUCAUGGUUAAGUGGGAAACGAUGUGGGAAGGCCCAGACAGCCAGGAUGUUGGCUUAGAAGCAGCCAUCAUUUAAAGAAAGCGUAAUAGCUCACUGGUCGAGUCGGCCUGCGCGGAAGAUGUAACGGGGCUAAACCAUGCACCGAAGCUGCGGCAGCGACACUGUGUGUUGUUGGGUAGGGGAGCGU